UACGAAGGGGGCUAGCGUUGUUCGGAUUUACUGGGCGUAAAGCGCACGUAGGCGGAUCGUUAAGUCGGGGGUGAAAUCCUGGAGCUCAACUCCAGAACUGCCUUCGAUACUGGCGAUCUCGAGUCCGGAAGAGGUGAGUGGAACUCCUAGUGUAGAGGUGGAAUUCGUAGAUAUUAGGAAGAACACCAGUGGCGAAGGCGACUCACUGGUCCGGUACUGACGCUGAGGUGCGAAAGCGUGGGGAGCAAACAGGAUUGAGAAACCCU
rnacentral:rRNA from 1 species